rnacentral:rRNA from 1 species
AGCCUGAUGCAGCCAUGCCGCGUGUGUGAAGAAGGCCUUCGGGUUGUAAAGCACUUUCAGUCAGGAGGAAAGGUUGGUGGUUAAUACCCGUCAUGUGUGACGUUACUGACAGAAGAAGCACCGGCUAACUCCGUGCCAGCAGCCGCGGUAAUACGGAGGGUGCGAGCGUUAAUCGGAAUUACUGGGCGUAAAGCGUACGCAGGCGGUUUGUUAAGCGAGAUGUGAAAGCCCCGGGCUCAACCUGGGAACUGCAUUUCGAACUGGCAAACUAGAGUGUGAUAGAGGGUGGUAGAAUUUCAGGUGUAGCGGUGAAAUGCGUAGAGAUCUGAAGGAAUACCGAUGGCGAAGGCAGCCACCUGGGUCAACACUGACGCUCAUGUACGAAAGCGUGGGGAGCAAACGGGAUUAGAUACCCCGGUAGUCCACGCCGUAAACGAUGUCUACUAGAAGCUCGGAGCCUCGGUUCUGUUUUUCAAAGCUAACGCAUUAAGUAGACCGCCUGGGGAGUACGGCCGCAAGGUUAAAACUCAAAUGAAUUGACGGGGGCCCGCACAAGCGGUGGAGCAUGUGGUUUAAUUCGAUGCAACGCGAAGAACCUUACCUACACUUGACAUACAGAGAACUUACCAGAGAUGGUUUGGUGCCUUCGGGAACUCUGAUACAGGUGCUGCAUGGCUGUCGUCAGCUCGUGUUGUGAGAUGUUGGGUUAAGUCCCGCAACGAGCGCAACCCCUAUCCUUAGUUGCUAGCAGGUAAUGCUGAGAACUCUAAGGAGACUGCCGGUGAUAAACCGGAGGAAGG